GUGAGGAAUAUUGGGCAAUGGGCGAAAGCCUGACCCAGCCACGCCGCGUGAGUGAUGAAGGCCUUCGGGUUGUAAAGCUCUGUGGGGAGGGAAGAAAAAGCGGGAGAGUAACUGCUCUCGUGUUGACGGUACCUCCUUAGCAAGCACCGGCUAACUCUGUGCCAGCAGCCGCGGUAAUACAGAGGGUGCAAACGUUGCUCGGAAUUACUGGGCGUAAAGCGCGUGUAGGCUGACAUGCAAGUCGGGUGUGAAAUCCCAGGGCUCAACCUUGGAACUGCACUCGAAACUGCACGUCUUGAGUACUGGAGAGGGAAGCGGAAUUCCGGGUGUAGAGGUGAAAUUCGUAGAUAUUCGGAGGAACACCAGUGGCGAAGGCGGCUUACUGGUCCAUUACUGACGCUGAGGUGCGAAAGCGUGGGGAGCAAACAGGAUUAGAUACCCUAGUAGUCC
rnacentral:rRNA from 1 species